rnacentral:misc_RNA from 1 species
GAUGAAGAACGCAGCGAAAUGCGAUAAGUAAUGUGAAUUGCAGAAUUCAGUGAAUCAUCGAAUCUUUGAACGCACAUUGCGCCCGCUAGUAUUCUGGAGGGCAUGCCUGUCCGAGCGUCAUUUCAACCCUCGGGAGCCCCUUUGCGGGGGCUGCCGGUGUUGGGGAUCGCCCGCCGCCAUGGUGGACGUCCCCUAAAACGAUUGGCGGUCUCGCUGUAGCCUCCUCUGCGCAGUAGCACUUGUUCUCGCAGGCGGAGCGCGGCGCGGCCAAGCCGUUAAACCCCCAACUUUUUUACUAGGUUGACCUCGGAUCAGGUAGGAAUACCCGCUGAACUUAAGCAUAUCAAUAAGCGGAGGA